rnacentral:misc_RNA from 1 species
GAUGAAGAACGUAGCGAAAUGCGAUACUUGGUGUGAAUUGCAGAAUCCCGUGAACCAUCGAGUCUUUGAACGCAAGAUGCGCCCGAAGCCAUUAGGCCGAGGGCACGCCUGCCUGGGCGUCACACGUCGUUGCCCCCCCAUCUACUCCUUCGGGAUUGCGGGGGGCGGAUGAUGGCCUCCCGUGCGCCUCGUCGCGCGGUUGGCCUAAAUGCCAAGUCCUCGGCGACGCACGCCACGACAAUCGGUGGUUGCGAAACCUCGGUUGCCUGUCGUGUGCGGUCGUCGCGCAUCGAGGGCUCGAAAAAAUUGCCGGGCUUCGGCUCGACUUUCAACGCGACCCCAGGUCAGGCGGGGUUACCCGCUGAAUUUAAGCAUAUCAAUAAGCGGAGGA